rnacentral:lncRNA from 1 species
CCUGGGUCUCACCAUAUGCCCCAUAGGUUCGAGAAGGUUGCUAAGUCAACCUUCUUGAAGAAACGUUCUUUGAAGCACGGUUAGAAUCACUAGGGCCAGAUGACAUACACCAAGAUGCCAUAUACUUGUCAGAGACAUUCAUCAGACUGCUGCAAAUCCUUCCAAUGAGCUCACACGCUCAUCAAAAUGCAAACAAGUGAUUGGAACAAAUAGGUAGGGUGGAGUGAAGGAAGGCACCCAUAAGCCUGGACCACCCACGGAUUUCGUAUCCUUUGCCAGGAUUCCUAAGACAACAUCUUCAGCCUUAGUUUUCUGUUUAAAAAAUAGAAAUUACCUUGACUCAGGGCAGGCCCCAAAGAAGGAUAACUCUUCUGGAUUCUGUAACUGCAGAACUGUCUGUUCUCCUUGCAGUUGGUGAUCGAAACGACUUUACCCAGUGAGAGGCAUAUCGUUCUUGUGAAACUUAAAAUCUCUUACUCCAAAGGAAUGACAGCUUAUGGAAAAGUAGAUAGAUGUGUUUUCUGUUCAGAAGGAUUUCCUCCUUAGCUCUUACCUUCUCUUCCAAGUCAGACAGCUAUUUCCCCCCUUACCAGGAACACUUUUUUUCCUUUAACUUCACAGACAACUAAGGCAAUUCAAAGAGACCUUAUAACAAUACUCGUGAUUUUGAUGUUCUUGGAGGACUGACACGAAAGUGUGUUUCGCCUCCAAAGAUGGACUUUACCUCCUCUGCCGACAGAAACUAAACCCCUCAGCAUGCAAGGCCCUUUUGAGUUCUUUCUUCUCCUCCCAUAGUCACAGGGUCCUCUUCGAGAUGACUGUGAUGUGACAGCUUUUUAUUGGCUGCUCGUCCUAAAGUUUUAAUUUUGUUCUUUAUAGGCUUUGAGUUCUUUGUGCAAAAACAAAAAAAUAUGUGUGUAUGUAUUGCUUUAGCUCUUAUCUUUACAAAUGAUAUAUUUACAAUAAUGUAUGUAUUAUAAAAAUGUAGAACGGUUGCUUAAACGUGAAAGGAAGAGAGGUAUUGGAUUUGGUUUAUUUAAAAAAAAACAAAAAAGUGCUAUGCUUAAUUUAGAAAAAAUGUGGAUGCCUUUUUGUCCACUUUGUUAUUAUUUGUUUAAAGGAAAUUUGCUUAUGAGACCGUGUGCCGUGGGAUGAACCAUGCCCUCAUGCUUUUCUUUAUCCUCAUUCUCAGCCUGGGUUUAGUCUUGCUUCCGCUGUAAACUGCCAGAUUUUAUAACGAUGUAAGAGCAGUGUUACAUCUGACCUAAAAAGCUAUUAAAACUCUGAAGACAAACAAACCUACCAGAAAAAAAAAAGAGAUAGACCCCCAAGUUAAGAAACACAAACCUACUUUAGGAAAUCUCUUUUGUGCUUAAGUAUUAAAAAUGUUUCUCCUCCAGAGACUUCGUCUGCCCAAGUGAUGUAAAUUCCCCAUUAUGGUUGACAUCACAUCUGUAAACAUCUCACUAAAGGCAAAAUGAAUUCACAUUUACGUGCAUGCCAGUGGGAAGAAAAGUAAACCAUUCUCCUUGGCGUUUAGCUAGGCUGUUCCAAUGUCACCAACUGAACCUCAAGAAAGAAUUUGGUUUUGCCCACCGUGUAGAUCACUUUCUUCUUGGCAAGGCAGCUGGCGUUCAUAUGUGGCUUAGGGUUAGCAUUCAUGCCAGCGAAAUGUUUAUGGAUAUUGUAGAAAACUUAUUCUAAAAUCCCUGAUUUCUCGUCAGCGCAUUUGCAUACCGUGCUGAUUAAUAAAUUAGGCACCAAUCAUGUGUAAAUCAAUGUAAAUCACUAGUUUAUGUACAUGAUAUAAACUAUGUAAACUUCAUUUUUCAGGCAAAGCCCAAGUUCAGCUAAACCUAUAAAUCUUAAAGAAAAAGAAGCCAAAAUAAGAGGGACAAAAGCCGAAGCUUUUUACAGGUCAGUGGUCUUAGAAGAAAGCCUGAAGUCCCAAACAUGGCUGCCUUAGCCAAAGGAAGCAGACAUCCAGAACACUUAGAGGCCCUUCCAGCCAAGUGCAGCCCGCUCUCCUUAGUUCUUGCUGCCUCAGUGAAGAUUCUCUAGCCUGACCCAACCAACCCUAGGCAAAUGGAAGGAAAGAGGACUAGGGUAUGAAGGACUCCUAUAGCCAGAUUGUAGGUUUCUUGUCAGCUAAUACAUAUUAUAUUGUAUCUUUAUUUAAAUAGUUCCAACAGAUUCACCAGUACUUACAGGAACAGAUUAUCACACACUACCCAUUUUUUUGGUCUGCUUUACACUUAACCACACUCAAGAAUUACCUUUGUAUCCUAAUUUGAACAAAUUUGGCGAUGUAAGAAAUAUAUUAUAUCCUUGA